rnacentral:lncRNA from 1 species
GGAGGAGAAGGAAAGUCGCUCAAGCAGUGGACAGAGCGGAGAAAGCGACUUCGGGUUGGUUGAAGGUUCAGCCUGAGAAAACUCCUGAGCAUGUGCGAAAAAGAAAAGAAGAAAAGAAAAGUAAAGAAAAGAAAAAAGGAAAAAGGGCAAGCUCCUGAGUGGAUCUCUCAGGGAGCCACCAGACAGGUAAAAACAUACAACCAAAGUUUUUGAGAACAAGGUCCAUAUUGAUCUCUCUGGCCCUUGCAAGCUGCACCAGGAAUGUGGGCUGCCAUUUUCAUGUCCACUGCCUGACUGGGGAAGUGGGAGAUGGUAGAUGGGUUAAAAUGCUACGACACUCUUUUAUCAAAGUUUAGCAACUUCUUUCUGUUUAAGUUUUCCCAUCAUUGUUGUAAGUUUUUUAUUAGAUUCCAGAGUUCUGAAAAAGUUGAUUCUAACAUUUUUUUGGCUUAAUUGUUACUUUAAUGGAAGGACUGAGUUUUAGAGUUCCCUACUCUGCCAUUUUUUGUAAUAUCAGUCCUGUUAUUUAUUUGGAAGAUAUUGAUUUCUUUUGUUUUAUCAAGUGGUUAUUUUGACUCAGCUCAAACUAAAAAGUUGGCCUUCCUGUGGAGAAUGAUAGCUUUAAUUUCAGUUUGUUAUUUUAUCUUAUCUGGUCUGGCUGACAUUUGUCCUGUACAAACAUGGUAUAAAAGUCAGCCAGAGAUUUGGGCAGAGUUUAUACACAAAAUUUGGGACACUUUUUUAUGGCUGUUUUCUUUCUGGGAUGUCUUUUACUCUGCAAAUCUUGUGGUUACCUUGAUGCCCAGAGUGGGAAAGUCCAUGGAGAAAGUAGCUGGUUUCAGUUUUUAGUUAUCCAAAUGUCAUGAACUUGGGCCUCGGUUUUUUGCCUUUUAAGAAAAACUUAUUAUUAUGGUAAAAUACAUAUAAAAGUUACCAUCUUAACUAUUUUAAGUGUUCGUUGGUAUUAAAUACAUUCAUAAUGUUGUGCAACCAUCACCAUCUUCCAUCUCCAGAACUCUUUUCAUCUUAACAAACUGAAACUCUCUAUCCAUUAGAUAAUAACUCCCUUCCCUCCAGCCCCUUGCAAGCACCAUUCUACUACUAAUGCUGCUAUGAACAUGGGUAUACAAAUAUCUAUUUGAGAACCUGCUUUCAAUAUUUUGAACAUAUACCCAGAACUGAAAUUGCUGCAUCAUAUGGUAAUUCUAUUUUUAAUUAUUUUAAGGAAUCACCAUACUAUUUCCCACAGCUGCAAUACCAUUUUUGGUUUUUAACAACAUUGCAUAAGGGUUCCAGUUUUUCUACAUCCUUGCCAACACCUAUUAUUUUCUUUUUUUUUUUUAUAAUAGCCAUCUUAAUGAGUAUAAGGUGAUAUCUCAUUGUAGCUUUUAUUUGCAUUUCUCUAAUCAUUAAUGAGGUUGAAUCUUCUUAUGUGCUUAUUGCCUCUUUGUAUAUCUCUGUGGAAAAA